rnacentral:rRNA from 1 species
GACGAAGGUGGCUAGCGUUGCUCGGAUUUACUGGGCAUAAAGCGCGCGUAGGUGGUCCUGUAAGCGAGAGAUGAAAGCCCAUGGCUCACCCAUGGAACUGUCCCUCAGACUGCAGGGCUGGAGGGCGGGAGGGGAGAAUGGAAUUCCCGGUGUAGCGGUGAAAUGCGUAGAUAUCGGGAGGAACGCCGGUGGCGAAAGCGAUUCUCUGGCCCGUUCCUGACACUGAGGCGCGAAAGCUAGGGGAGCCAACAGG